AGAGUUUGAUCAUGGCUCAGGACGAACGCUGGCGGCGUGCUUAACACAUGCAAGUCGAACGGAACUUUCGGGUUCAGUGGCAAACGGGUGAGUAACGCGUAGGCAAUCUGCCGUAAAGUUGGGGACAACAGUUCGAAAGGACUGCUAAUACCGAAUGUUAUGUUUUUAUCGCAUGAUAGAUACAUUAAAGAUUUAUCGCUUUACGAGGAGCCUGCGUCCGAUUAGGUAGUUGGUAAGGUAACGGCUUACCAAGCCGACGAUCGGUAACCGGUCUGAGAGGAUGAACGGUCACAUUGGAACUGAGAGACGGUCCAGACUCCUACGGGAGGCAGCAGUGGGGAAUAUUCCACAAUGGGCGAAAGCCUGAUGGAGCGACGCCGCGUGAGUGAAGAAGGUUUUCGAAUCGUAAAGCUCUUUUCAACUUGACGAAUGGGUUAUUAGAUAACCAGAGACGGUAAAGAUGGAAUAAGCCACGGCUAACUACGUGCCAGCAGCCGCGGUAAUACGUAGGUGGCAAGCGUUGUCCGGAAUUAUUGGGCGUAAAGGGAGCGCAGGCGGUUUGGUAAGUCUUACUUAAAAGUGCAGCAGUAAAAGUUGUGAUGGGUAAGAAACUAUUGAACUUGAGAGCAGGAGAGGCAAGCGGAAUUCCCAGUGUAGCGGUGAAAUGCGUAGAUAUUGGGAGGAACACCAGUGGCGAAGGCGGCUUGCUGGACUGCAUCUGACGCUGAGGCUCGAAAGCUAGGGUAGCGAACGGGAUUAGAUACCCCGGUAGUCCUAGCUGUAAACGAUGAGUGCUAGGUGUGGGAGGUAUCGACUCCUCCCGUGCCGGAGUCAACGCAAUAAGCACUCCGCCUGGGGAGUACGGUCGCAAGACUGAAACUCAAAGGAAUUGACGGGGGCCCGCACAAGCGGUGGAGUAUGUGGUUUAAUUCGACGCAACGCGAAGAACCUUACCAAGCCUUGACAUUGAUUGACAGGUUAUGAAAGUAACUUUUUCCUUCGGGAAC
rnacentral:rRNA from 1 species